UACGUAGGUGGCAAGCGUUGUCCGGAAUUAUUGGGCGUAAAGCGCGCGCAGGCGGUUUCUUAAGUCUGAUGUGAAAGCCCCCGGCUCAACCGGGGAGGGUCAUUGGAAACUGGGAAACUUGAGUGCAGGAGAGAAGAGCGGAAUUCCACGUGUAGCGGUGAAAUGCGUAGAGAUGUGGAGGAACACCGAUGGCGAAGGCAGGUCUCUGGGCCGAUACUGACGCUGAGGAGCGAAAGCGUGGGGAGCGAACAGG
rnacentral:rRNA from 1 species